ensembl:lncRNA
AUGUUAUAAUCUCAGAGGCGGCUGCAGUCCUAGGGAUCUUCAAUGGUAAGGUGCAAUGAAUUUGAGCUAUAUUUCUGCAUAAAUCAACUGACCAUAGAAGGGUUUCCAGUUGAUCUGGAAAACAUGUUUUUCUCUCUUUUUUUCAGCUCCUCCAACUCCACUCCCUGGAAAUGGAGACUCAGGAACUACAGAUGGAAAAGAUUCAGCAGAGAAACAAGGAGGUCCCAGUGACUCAUCUGACACCACUGAAAAACCAGAGGUUGACGGUGCUCCCGACACAUCAGACACAAACAGUGACAAAAGCCUGGAUGAAGCCACCAGCGGCCCAGAUUCGAUAGACACAACAGAUACUGAUAGUGACACCGAAAAAGACACAGACACUAAUACAGAAACAGAUGCAUCGCAGCAGAAGACAGGCGAUUCAGAUAAGAACAACGAGAAACCAUCAGCGGAGGACAGCAAAGAUGCAGAUCAUGUUGAUACACAUUCAAAAGAAGAGGAAUCUACAGACACGGAUGAAAAGGCAGACACUGAUUCAGACGGCUCAGAUGGGGAUUCUGUGGAAAAUAAAUAUUCUGAUGAUGCACCUGAUGAUGCAAAUAAUACAGAAGACACGGAUGAUUCAUCUGACAAGGAUUCUUCAGACACAGCUGAGCAGCAGGACUCUGAUGAUUCUGACAAAGACAAACCAGAUGGCGACUCGGAUGAAAAGAGUGGCGAGAAAGACGAGAAAGACACCGGUAAUGACUCCAGUAAAGACUCAGAAGACGAGGGUCAAGAAACCUCUGAGACGCCAGACAAAAGCGACUCAGACACUGAUGAGGUGAAACUUUCAGACGACUCCAAAGACCAAGAUUCAGAAUCGAAAGACACCGACAGCACGGAGAAGAAAGAGAAGGACCAGGACUCUGACAGCGACGCAGACACCAGCAGCGAUCAAGACACGGCAGAUUCCCCUGAUGCAGCAGACGCCAAGGACAGCGCUGAGGAUAAAGACAAGGACAGCAGCGACCCGAAAGACACUGAAGAUGAUAGAGACAGGGAGAAGGACGCCAAUGAGAAGGAGGACACCAAUGAGACGGGCAGCGAUAGCGAUGAGGGAAAAGAUAAAGAGGACCAAUCCAAACCAGACGAGCAGGACAAGGAAGACACCAGCUCAAAAGAAGACGCCACAGCCAGUCAGUCUGACGAAAGUCCACUGGAGGAAAUGACAGAAGACAAGCAGGAAGACAACCCUGAGUCUGACAGCUCCAGUCUAGACUCAAAUUCAGACUCGGACUCUGACAGCAAAGAUAAAGAGCAGGACAAAGAGAAGAACAGCACAGAGUCCACAGACACAGAAAGCUCCGACAGCGACAGCAAGAGCGACACAGACAGCUCAGAAACAGGAGGGGAAGAUACUGAUGAAGACAAUGACUCCAGCGUGGAAAAGGAGAAACAAGAGUCUCCUGAUGGUGCAUCAAUAGAGACAAAUGACUCUGACUCCAGCGAUGAUCAUGACAAUGACUCAACAGAUGCUACAACAUCAAACGAGGAACACACUGAUGAAAACACUGAUGCAGACAGCCAUGACGCUGCAGACGAUGAUGAUGAAGUCAGGGUUGAAGAUGGCACAGGUAAGUCACUCACUCAUUUGCCUCCUCACAUCAUAGUUGUCUCAGAUUUUUCUCCCAAAAUUC